rnacentral:rRNA from 1 species
GACGAACGCUGGCGGCGUGCUUAACACAUGCAAGUCGAGCGGUAAGGCCCUUCCGGGGGUACACGAGCGGCGAACGGGUGAGUAACACGUGGGUGACCUGCCCUCAGCUCUGGGAUAAGCCUGGGAAACUGGGUCUAAUACUGGAUAUGACUCCACGGUGCAUGUCGUGGGGUGGAAAGCCUUGUGCGGCUGAGGAUGGGCCCGCGGCCUAUCAGCUUGUUGGUGGGGUGANGGCCUACCAAGGCGACGACGGGUAGCCGGCCUGAGAGGGCGACCGGCCACACUGGGACUGAGACACGGCCCAGACUCCUACGGGAGGCAGCAGUGGGGAAUCUUGCGCAAUGGGCGAAAGCCUGACGCAGCGACGCCGCGUGAGGGAUGACGGCCU